rnacentral:rRNA from 1 species
GCAUAUCAAUAAGCGGAGGAAAAGAAACCAACAGGGAUUGCCCCAGUAACGGCGAAGUGAAGCGGCAAGAGCUCAAAUUUGAAAGCUGACUCCUUCGGGGUCCGCAUUGUAAUUUGCAGAGGAUGCUUCGGGAGCGGUCCCCAUCUAAGUGCCCUGGAACGGGACGUCAUAGAGGGUGAGAAUCCCGUAUGGGAUGGGGUGUCCGCGCCCGUGUGAAGCUCCUUCGACGAGUCGAGUUGUUUGGGAAUGCAGCUCUAAAUGGGUGGUAAAUUUCAUCUAAAGCUAAAUAUUGGCCGGAGACCGAUAGCGCACAAGUAGAGUGAUCGAAAGAUGAAAAGCACUUUGAAAAGAGAGUUAAAAAGCACGUGAAAUUGUUGAAAGGGAAGCGCUUGCGACCAGACUCGCUCGCGGGGUUCAGCCGGCAUUCGUGCCGGUGUAUUUCCCCGCGGGCGGGCCAGCGUCGGUUUGGGCGGUCGGUCAAAGGCCCUCGGAAGGUAACGCCCCCAGGGGCGUCUUAUAGCCGAGGGUGCAAUGCGACCUGCCUAGACCGAGGAACGCGCUUCGGCUCGGACGCUGGCAUAAUGGUCGUAAGCGACCCGUCUUGAAACACGGACCAAGGAGUCUAACAUCUACGCGAGUGUUCGGGUGUCAAACCCGUGCGCGAAGUGAAAGCGAACGGAGGUGGGAACCCUUUGGGUGCACCAUCGACCGAUCCUGAAGUCUUCGGAUGGAUUUGAGUAAGAGCGUAGCUGUUGGGACCCGAAAGAUGGUGAACUAUGCCUGAAUAGGGCGAAGCCAGAGGAAACUCUGGUGGAGGCUCGUAGCGGUUCUGACGUGCAAAUCGAUCGUCGAAUUUGGGGUAUAGGGGGCGAAAGACUAAUCGAACCAUCUGUAGCUGGGUUCCUGCCGA